GAUGAACGCUGGCGGCGUGCUUAACACAUGCAAGUCGAACGAUGAAGCCCAGCUUGCUGGGUGGAUUAGUGGCGAACGGGUGAGUAACACGUGAGUAACCUGCCCUUAACUCUGGGAUAAGCCUGGGAAACUGGGUCUAAUACCGGAUAGGAGCGUCCACCGCAUGGUGGGUGUUGGAAAGAUUUAUCGGUUUUGGAUGGACUCGCGGCCUAUCAGCUUGUUGGUGAGGCAAUGGCUCACCAAGGCGACGACGGGUAGCCGGCCUGAGAGGGUGACCGGCCACACUGGGACUGAGACACGGCCCAGACUCCUACGGGAGGCAGCAGUGGGGAAUAUUGCACAAUGGGCGAAAGCCUGAUGCAGCGACGCCGCGUGAGGGAUGACGGCCUUCGGGUUGUAAACCUCUUUCAGUAGGGAAGAAGCGAAAGUGACGGUACCUGCAGAAGAAGCACCGGCUAACUACGUG
rnacentral:rRNA from 1 species